UACGAGGGGGGCGAGCGUUGUUCGGAAUUAUUGGGCGUAAAGCGCACGUAGGCGGUUCGUUAAGUCAGAUGUGAAAGCCCCGGGCUCAACUCGGGAAGUGCAUUUGAAACUGGCGGGCUUGAAUAUGGAAGAGGGUCGCGGAAUUCCCGGUGUAGAGGUGAAAUUCGUAGAUAUCGGGAGGAACACCAGUGGCGAAGGCGGCGACCUGGGCCAAUAUUGACGCUGAGGUGCGAAAGCGUGGGGAGCAAACAGG
rnacentral:rRNA from 1 species